rnacentral:rRNA from 1 species
GGAUGAGCAUGCGCAUGAUUAGUUAGUUGGCGGGGUAAUGGCCCACCAAGACGAUGAUCAUUAGGGGAACUGAGAGGUUGAUCCCCCACACUGGCACUGAGAUACGGGCCAGACUCCUACGGGAGGCAGCAGUAGGGAAUAUUGGACAAUGGGUGCGAGCCUGAUCCAGCCAUGCCGCGUGCAGGAAGACGGCCUUCUGGGUUGUAAACUGCUUUUGCCAGGGGAUAAAAAGUCCCUGCGGGGAAAAUUGAAGGUACCUGGUGAAUAAGCCACGGCUAACUACGUGCCAGCAGCCGCGGUAAUACGUAGGUGGCAAGCGUUGUCCGGAUUUAUUGGGUUUAAAGGGUGCGUAGGCGGUCAUAUAAGUCAGUGGUGAAAUCCGGCAGCUCAACUGUCGAUGUGCCAUUGAUACUGCAUGACUUGAGUACAGACGAGGUAGGCGGAAUUGACGGUGUAGCGGUGAAAUGCUUAGAUAUCGUCAAGAACACCGAUAGCGAAGGCAGCUUACUAGACUGUAACUGACGCUGAUGCACGAAAGUGUGGGGAUCAAACAGGAUUAGAUACCCUGGUAGUCCACACUGUAAACGAUGAUUACUCGAUGUUGGCGAUACACAGCCAGCGUCUAGCGAAAGCGAUAAG